rnacentral:rRNA from 1 species
GAUGAACGCUGGCGGCGUGCUUAACACAUGCAAGUCGAACGAUGAAGCCCAGCUUGCUGGGUGGAUUAGUGGCGAACGGGUGAGUAACACGUGAGUAACCUGCCCUUGACUCUGGGAUAAGCCUGGGAAACUGGGUCUAAUACUGGAUAUGACUUCUCAUCGCAUGGUGGGGGGUGGAAAGAUUUAUUGGUCUUGGAUGGACUCGCGGCCUAUCAGCUUGUUGGUGAGGUAAUGGCUCACCAAGGCGACGACGGGUAGCCGGCCUGAGAGGGUGACCGGCCACACUGGGACUGAGACACGGCCCAGACUCCUACGGGAGGCAGCAGUGGGGAAUAUUGCACAAUGGGCGCAAGCCUGAUGCAGCGACGCCGCGUGAGGGAUGACGGCCUUCGGGUUGUAAACCUCUUUCAGUAGGGAAGAAGCGAGAGUGAUGGUACCUGCAGAAGAAGCGCCGGCUAACUACGU